AUCAUCACCACAGAUCUCCAAUACCGUUUGUGGGCUCCAUCCACACGGCCUUUCCUGCUUCUCGAGGCUCCGUCCUGAGACCUGCCUGGGCACAUCCACACUUGUGGAGCCAGAGGCAGCCUCAGGGUCUGAACGCUGGCACCUGUCUGUGGAGCAGCCGGGAUUCCUCGGGGAAAAGAGAAACAGGUUCCGAUUAUUUUAGGUACCGAUGUCCCUGCAGCCUGGGGUCCAGGUAACGGUCUCGGUAACUACCCGCUUCCCCAUCUGCUGCUGAGACAUCUGUCCCCCCCGAGAACCCCAGCCCAGGGCUAAGGAGACCUUACCUCCUCCGGGGGCAGCCCCCUGCUGACCCUUCACUCUGGGUCCAGAAACAGUCCUGACGAAUCCGCCCGUCACGUAGCCCCGGGGUGUUGGCGAUUCUGUUAAUUCCAGUCUCUUCCUGUUCUAGAAUUUAUGAAUCCCCCAUUGCUCAGUUAGCUGGACCNCUGGGAUCAAAGCGUUUUUUUCUUUUUAGGGCCGUGACUGCAGCAUGUGGAAGUGCCCAGACUAUAGGGGUUGAAUCGGAGCUGCAGCUGCCAGUCUACACCACAGCCACAGCCAUGUGGAAUCCAAGCCACUUCUGUGACCUACACCACAGCUCACGACAGAGGCCAGAUCCUUAACCCAGGGAGUCGCCAUACCUCUCAUGAGAAGAUCUGAGCAGUUCCCUGAGGCCGACGGAAAGGGGAACUGCCUGGGCGGACACCGGUCUCGCUGGGAAACCGAUGGUUGGUUCCAACGUGUCAGCGGCUUUGAGAGUUUUUAGAGAUUCCCCAAGAGAAAUCACUCUCUGCCAUCAAAUGACCGCAGUGCUGAACAGUGCUAAGACUCCGUGCGAAGCCACCUGCUCUGCUCCUGGGACGUCAGGUCAUAGGAGCUGGAAGGACCUCGCCGUCUCGGUGACAGUGACUACAAUUGGGAUUAACUUUCGGAGCAGAUGCUCGAUGGCUGUCUGCUUCCCACCUCUGUCACUGACGACUUUCCAGGCACCCUCCCACCCUGGGUGCACAUGCCCACUGCCCUGCACGGAUGCACACAUGCAGACACAGACAUGUACAGAGAUGACACAUACACACCUGUACACACACGCUCACAUAAAGACACAAUUAUAGACACAUGCAUACACAAAACAUACAACAUGGGCAGACAUGCACAGACACACAGAAACAGAUACACACACGCACAAAGACUCACAUAACACACAAGACCACACCCUCACACGGACACCCCUGUGCACACAGUGAGUUCUCUAGAAUCCAAAAACCACUCUCCUGCCUUCUCUUUAACCAAGUUCAAAAACUACAGAUUUAUGGCCUUUCAUUUUUGAGUUGAAAAUACAACCAACAGUUCCCAGGUUCAAAUGCAUGUUUCUAGGCGUCUCAGCACUGUUGGAUGUAUGUAUAUUACAUAUGCUCGGCUGUCCCCACUUACACACGGACAUUCUAGAGGUGCUUGGGGUAGAUGGAUAUAUGUAUACACACACACACACUGGGGUAGAUGGACGACCAGAUCAAUAGAUACCAGUUGCUAUAACUCUCAGUAUGAGUCCACUCAGCUGCCAAAAGCAGAUACCCCAGACGGGGCAGCUUCAACAAGAGGCACUUAUCCCUCCUGGUGCUGGAGGCUGGCAUCUGAAGUCCCCUGGCAAGGCAAGGCCACUGCCUGGACGUUCACAAGUGCCCUGGCGGUUCUUACUGCGAGCCAGCCGGCUGGCUGGAGGAGACCUGCAGGUGACCACAGAGAAUGUCCAGGGGGAUGAGAGGAGAAGGGGAGCUGCCAGCAUCGUCUGUACCUCCCUGCUCUGCAGAGAUGCAGGAAGCAGUUCAGCUUCGGGCUGCUCUGGAGGGCAGGCAGGGGGGCGGGUUCCAGAACCUUCGGACUCAGAUGGUCCCUGCUAGCCAGCUCCAAACUCUGUUCCUGCAGAUUCAGCCUCAGUGCAUCUGAGUCCACACACGUGUUCCAGAACCGGGGUGCUGGAUGUUGGGGCACGGGGAGGUGGGGGUGCAAACUGACCUCUGACACUGCAACGCCCCCAGCAGGCAGCUUCUCAUGGGGCUCCAGCCAGGUGGACCAGUUGGGCAGGGGUGGGCAUGCUCCCCUUUGGAAGGGAACCCAAAGCGCCUUAAGUCCUGCCCUCACAGAGUUUGCAGGCUCCUAGGGACGCUCGUGAAAAUCAGUUCGUGGAAAAGUAAAUCUUUCUCCCUGAGCUUUAGGCUUCUGUUCAUCUGUCUGGUCAUCAGAGCUUCCCAAGGAGUUACCUUCCCUGCAGUGUCCGCUCCCUCCCAGCUCUGGAUCCCGCAGCCUCUCGUGGUCCCUCUAAAGAAGUACCACGGACCGGGCAGCUUCAAAGGAAGAUGUGCUGUCUUAGUGUUUUAAAGGCCAAAGCGCUCAAGUCAGGCUGCCCGCAGGGCUGGUUCCUCCUGGAGCAGCUCCAGCGGAGAAUCUGCGGCCUCUCCCAGCUUCUGGAUGCGGCAGCAGUCCUGAGCGUGCGGUCCCUCCUCCAUCCCCAGAGCCUAAAGUCCAGCAUCUCGCGAUCAAACGGUCCUCUGCCUCUUAUGGGAACCUCUGUGAUGAUGCUGGACCACCUGGAAAAUCCCAGCCAAGGUCCUUCACGUGGCCACAGCUGCCAAGUCCCCUCUGCUGUGGGACGUCACAGAGUCGCAAGGUCUGGGGGUCAGGGUGUGGACGUCCUUGGGGACAGGGCUCUGUCCCCCACAAAGGGAUGGGGACGUGGUUCUGUCCCCCCACACACACUGAGCUCCUUCACUUCUAAUGCUGUCUUACUGUAUCUUUAAACAGCCCAGAAAUAAACGCACACACCUACGGCCCCUUAAUCUUCCACAAAGGAGGCAAGAACAUCAAAGGGGCAAAAGACAGUCUCUUCCCAACCAGGAGUGGGAAACCUGGACAGCUGCACGUAAAUCAAUGAAACUAGAACACACCCUCACACCAUGCACAAAAAUAAACGCAAAAUGGGCUAAAGACACGAUGCCAUAUAUCUCUGAGAUCCCAGGCACAACAUUUUCUGAUGUAAAUCAUACCACAUGUUUUCUUAGGUCAGUCUCCCAAGGUAAUGGAAAUAAAAGCAAACAUAAAC
rnacentral:lncRNA from 1 species